rnacentral:rRNA from 1 species
AACGAACGCUGGCGGCAUGCCUAACACAUGCAAGUCGAACGAGACCUUCGGGUCUAGUGGCGCACGGGUGCGUAACGCGUGGGAACCUGCCCUUAGGUUCGGAAUAACUCCCCGAAAGGGGUGCUAAUACCGGAUAAUGUCUUCGGACCAAAGAUUUAUCGCCUUUGGAUGGGCCCGCGUUGGAUUAGCUAGUUGGUAGGGUAAAAGCCUACCAAGGCGACGAUCCAUAGCUGGUCUGAGAGGAUGAUCAGCCACACUGGGACUGAGACACGGCCCAGACUCCUGCGGGAGGCAGCAGUGGGGAAUAUUGGACAAUGGGCGAAAGCCUGAUCCAGCAAUGCCGCGUGAGUGAUGAAGGCCUUAGGGUUGUAAAGCUCUUUUACCCGGGAUGAUAAUGACAGUACCGGGAGAAUAAGCUCCGGCUAACUCCGG